rnacentral:rRNA from 1 species
GGAACUCGUAUUAAUACCGCAUACGACCUACGGGAGAAAGGGGUUCAGUUUACUGCUCUCGCUAUUAGAUGAGCCUAAGUCGGAUUAGCUAGAUGGUGGGGUAAAGGCCUACCAUGGCGACGAUCUGUAGCUGGUCUGAGAGGAUGAUCAGCCACACCGGGACUGAGACACGGCCCGGACUCCUACGGGAGGCAGCAGUGGGGAAUAUUGGACAAUGGGGGAAACCCUGAUCCAGCCAUGCCGCGUGUGUGAAGAAGGCCUUUUGGUUGUAAAGCACUUUAAGCAGUGAAGAAGACUCCAUGGUUAAUACCCAUGGACGAUGACAUUAGCUGCAGAAUAAGCACCGGCUAACUCUGUGCCAGCAGCCGCGGUAAUACAGAGGGUGCAAGCGUUAAUCGGAAUUACUGGGCGUAAAGGGAGCGUAGGUGGCUCUAUAAGUCAGAUGUGAAAUCCCCGGGCUUAACCUGGGAACUGCAUCUGAAACUGUAGAGCUAGAGUAUGUGAGAGGAAGGUAGAAUUCCAGGUGUAGCGGUGAAAUGCGUAGAGAUCUGGANNGNGAAUACCGAUGGCGAAGGCAGCCUUCUGGCAUAAUACUGACACUGAGGCUCGAAAGCGUGGGUAGCAAACAGGAANAGAUACCCUGGUAGUCCACGCCGUAAACGAUGUCUACUAGUCGUUGGGUCCCUUGAGGACUUAGUGACGCAGCUAACGCAAUAAGUAGACCGCCUGGGGAGUACGGCCGCAAGGNUUAAAACUCAAAUGAAUUGACGGGGGCCCGCNACAAGCGGUGGAGCAUGNUGGUUUAANUUCGAUGCAACGCGNAANGAACCUUACCUGGUNCUUGNANCAUNAUCNUAGAAUCCNUGCAGAGAUGCGGGNANGUGCCUUNCGGGNAAUUAGAAUACAGGUGCUNGCNAUGGCUNGUNCGUCAGCNUCNGUGUCGUGNAGANUGUUGGGUUAAGUCCCGCAANCGAGNCGCAACCCUUGUCCUUAGUUACCNAGCGGGUUAAGNCCGGGAANCUCUAAGGAUACNUGCCNAGUGANCAAACNNUGGAGGAAGGCGGGGACGACGUCAAGUNCAUNNCAUNGGCCCUUACGACCAGGGCNUACACACGUGNCUANCANAUNGGUAGGUACAGAGGGCAGCUACACAGCGAUGUGAUGCCAAAUCUCAAAAAAGCCUAUCGUAGUCCAGAUUGGAAUUCUGCAACUCGACUUCCAUGAAGUAAGAAAUCGCUAGUAAAUCGCGGAUCAGAAUGCCCCCGGUGAAAACGUUUCC